rnacentral:rRNA from 1 species
GAAACGCCGACUAAUCCCCGAUGGGAUACGAUGCUUCAUGGCAUUGUAUUGAAAGUUACGGCGGCGACGGAUUGGCUCGCGUCCGAUUAGCUUGUUGGCGGGGUAACGGCCCACCAAGGCUACGAUCGGUAGGGGUUCUGAGAGGAAGGCCCCCCACAAUGGGACUGAGACACGGCCCAUACUCCUACGGGAGGCAGCAGUGAGGAAUACUGGUCAAUGGGCGGAAGCCUGAACCAGCCAUGCCGCGUGCGGGAAGGAGGCCCUAUGGGCUGUGAACCGCUUUUGCCUGGGGGCAAUAAGGGCGUCGCGCACGUCCGAUGAGAGUACCAGGCGAAUAAGCAUCGGCUAACUCCGUGCCAGCAGCCGCGGUAAUACGGGGGAUGCGAGCGUUAUCCGGAUUCAUUGGGUUUAAAGGGUGCGUAGGCUGUGCGUCAAGUCGGGGGUGAAAUUCCGGUGCUCAACACCGGGGCUGCCCUUGAUACUGUCGCGCUGGAGUGCGGAUGCCGCCGGAGGAAUGAGUGGUGUAGCGGUGAAAUGCUUAGAUAUCACUCAGAACACCGAUUGCGAAGGCAUCUGGCGAAUCCGUAACUGACGCUGAGGCACGAAAGCGUGGGGAUAGAACAGGAUUAGAUACCCUGGUAUUCCACGCCGUAAACGAUGAUGGCUAACCGCCGGCGACACACUGUCG